AUUUUUCACCUGUUAAGUUUAUUUCAAAGUGGUGUGCCUGUGAACUAGCUUGAGAGCUAAGUGCACUUCCACUAUAAAUGAAGAAUUUGGAUUUGGAUUUGGGAUGUUUGGCAGAGA